rnacentral:rRNA from 1 species
UAACGGAAGGCAGCAGUGGGGAAUAUUGCACAAUGGGCGAAAGCCUGAUGCAGCUAUGCCGCGUGUAUGAAGAAGGCCUUAGGGUUGUAAAGUACUUUCAUCGGGGAGGAAAAAACAAAACUAAUAAUUUUAUUUCUUGACGUUACCCGAAAAAGAAGCACCGGCUAACUCCGUGCCAGCAGCCGCGGUAAUACGGAGGGUGCUAGCGUUAAUCAGAAUUACUGGGCGUAAAGAGCACGUAGGUGGUUUUUUUAAGUCAGAUGUGAAAUCCCUGGGUCUUAACCUAGGAACUGCAUUUUGAAACUGAAAUACUAGAGUAUCGUAGAGGGAGGUAGAAUUCUAGGUGUAGCGGUGAAAUGCGUAGAUAUCUGGAGGAAUACCUGUGGCGAAAGCGGCCUCCUAAACGAAUACUGACACUGAGGUGCGAAAGCGUGGGGAGCAAACGAGGAUUAGAUACC